rnacentral:lncRNA from 1 species
GGGUGAUCUAAGUUGUGGAGUACUUAUCAGGAGUACUGACUGGACUGGGCUGUCCAUUCACACAGGAAUCUGAUGGAUCUCAAAGUCCAGUUUGGGAGCUAUGAUGUUAUCCCCAUUGUCAACUUCACCGGAUUUAGAGGAGUAUCACCCAGUCCCUUAACAAAACCAAGCUGAAGAAUGAAGCCAGCCUGCAAAACACACUUCAAACCCUCCUUGUUUGCUCCAUGCUGAGAGUGGAGAGGAAGGAACUGGGAAGUGGGAAGUGAGUGGAAGUCAUACAGCCUACCACACCAAGAAGCUCUUCCAGCAAGAUCCCAUCUGCUGAUUCUCACUGAUGCAAACCAACAGAGC